CCUAUUCAGAAGCCGACUUAACCUAAACCAGCCGCUUAUAGACCUGCUGCUCCAGCCGGGAUUUCUAUCCAUCUGACACACUCACCUGCUUCUGAUUCCACCUUACAUGCCUGACAUGCUGCCACCACCGCGAGCAUUUCUGCCGGAGUAAGCCAGCGAGGGUCCGACAUUACAACAGCCGCACGCCGCAGCAACGGACCUCCAGCGUGGGAGCCAUCUGCUAUAUCACCGCUCCCAAACCAAGCCGAAAUCAACGCUCUGCUUGUGAAGUAGAACUGCUUCUCCCAUCAUUUUCGGCCCGUCGCAGUACGGGACCAGCGGACACGAAACGAUACACGUCUGGAAUGAAUCGUCACAGCGGUCCGAGCCAGAUGGAAAAAAAGAAUAAAAGAAGACAACUCUAAUGAGAGAAGAUAUUGCCUUUGCUGCUCAGUUGGGAGGCUCUUUAGGAGGCGCUGGAGGAGGCCUUGGAGGAAACCUUGGAGGAGGCGCUGGAGGCCUUGGAGGAGCCGCUGGAGGAGGCCUUGGAGGAGGCACUGGAGGCCUUGGAGGAGCCGCUGGAAACGUGGGUGGAGGUGUUCAUGUAAGAAGUGCAGAAAUUGGCAACGUUGGAGGUCUUUUGGGUGAUGUUGUUGACAAAGUUGGCAAAUUACUUGGCGGUGGCGGUGGCGGUGUCCUAUGAUCUUCCUCUCUGUGCAGGCUCCACAAUGGAUUCCUGACCAGGACCGGCCGAGUCCUCACAAUGAAUUUCCCCCCUAAUGAUUUAGUUUCCUCUCCUUUUAUGAUUCUUUAUAUUCUCUCUCUAUGAUUUCUCUUCUUUCUAUGUCUCACAACCAAUAAAGUA